UGGGGAAUCUUCCGCAAUGGGCGAAAGCCUGACGGAGCAACGCCGCGUGAAUGAAGAAGGCCUUCGGGUUGAUAAGGUUCUGUUGAAAGGGAAGAAGUCUCUUUAUUUGAAUAAUGUAGAGAGGUGACGUCUUGAC
rnacentral:rRNA from 1 species